GCGUCCAUAGCUCAGCUGGAUAGAGCGCACCCCUCCUAAGGGUGAGGCCGGUGGUUCGAAUCCACCUGGACGCGCCA
rnacentral:tRNA from 1 species